rnacentral:rRNA from 1 species
CCUACGGGUGGCAGCAGUGGGGAAUAUUGCACAAUGGGCGCAAGCCUGAUGCAGCCAUGCCGCGUGUGUGAAGAAGGCCUUCGGGUUGUAAAGCACUUUCAGCGGGGAGGAAGGCGUUAAGGUUAAUAACCUUGGCGAUUGACGUUACCCGCAGAAGAAGCACCGGCUAACUCCGUGCCAGCAGCCGCGGUAAUACGGAGGGUGCAAGCGUUAAUCGGAAUUACUGGGCGUAAAGCGCACGCAGGCGGUCUGUCAAGUCGGAUGUGAAAUCCCCGGGCUCAACCUGGGAACUGCAUUCGAAACGGGCAGGCUAGAGUCUUGUAGAGGGGGGUAGAAUUCCAGGUGUAGCGGUGAAAUGCGUAGAGAUCUGGAGGAAUACCGGUGGCGAAGGCGGCCCCCUGGACAAAGACUGACGCUCAGGUGCGAAAGCGUGGGGAGCAAACAGGAUUAGAUACCCGGGUAGUC